GGCCGGUUGGCCCAAUGGCAAGGCGUCUGACUACGAUGAAAUUGUUAUCAGGAGAUUCUGGGUUCGACCCCCAGGCUGGUCA
rnacentral:tRNA from 1 species